UGCACGGUGGUGCAGUUGGUAGCACUGCUGCCUUUGCAGCAAAAAGGUCCUGGGUUCAACUCCUGGCCUGAGGUCUUUCUGCAU